CUCCAUUCUAGAAUUCUAAGACUUCUUACCCUAAAUUUCCCAUUGUUCGGCAGCACUCAGUGUCAUGGAACGUGCAGUGGGGACGCCUGACUCAACCUUAGAGCCGGUGGAAGAGAGCCGGCCAGAGCAGGCAGAGGAUUCUGUGUUGUCCAGCUUGGAUGGAGGCAGCCUCAGAAAGUGGCCAAGAUCCCAUGCAUCGCCACAGCGUACAGAUACUCAAACAAGCCUGCGAGUUGGGCAGGGCAGAGUUAACAGUACAGAAAGCUGUGACCACAGCCCUGUUUCCCUUGGCUGAGGAGGGAGCUGCUGAAGAGGUGCCCCCGACUCGUCCCCUCCUGAAAGGAGUCUCCCAGCAGCCCAUGGCAGUCUUGCAGGAAUGGCAAUCACAACGAGAUCGAAAACUAUUGGUGACUUUUUCCACUUGAAUAUUUAAAGACACAGUUUAUUCUUUGUAAAAAGCUGCUUGGCAAUUGCCCUGAUGCUGAAUUUUUGUGGAAGACGUCAGAUGCGCACAUUCUUCACCUCAGUUGUCUAAAAGCACAAGUGGUUUGCCGUCUCCAUUGUUUGUUUCCUUGGUGUGCACUCUCUUCAGUCCCUGGGAGCCCGAGGAAGCCUGGUGUUACAUAAGCACUUCAUCAGAAUAAACAUCCAGCUAGAGGCUGCUUCCUUGGUCCUCCCGCCCUGGAGGAGCGCUUCCCUCAACCCCGACAUUUCCCAGACUGCAGACAGAUUUGCGUUCCUG
rnacentral:lncRNA from 1 species